UUUUCCUGAUCAAUGUGGACAUUAUAAUUGAUGGUAAUAUUUACUGAUCAUAUAAUCAGCAUGACAAUAUAACAGUAUAACAUUCUGACCACCUGACUAAUACUGUGUUGGUCCCUUUAUGCUGCUAAAACUCCUCUGACCCAGUGGUUCAUCAGAACCUCUGGGGAUGUCCUGUGGAUUCUGUGGAUCCUGUGGGUUGCAGGGUGGGUCCUACCUAGACCAGGCUGAUCCUGGACCAUCCCACAGAUGCUCCAUCAGAUCUGGAUGUGGGGAGUGUGGAACCCAGAUGUUCAGAGGGAGAUGAUGCCACAUCUGGUCCAGCUGAUGGAAGGUCUUGAAGUUCUCUGACUGGCCUCGACUGAAGAUGGUCGUCUCACUGGAUUUAAGAUGCACAAUGAGGGACGUCUGCAGAGACUGAGAAAGAGUCUCACCACAUCCUGACAUGAGGAAAAAGACUUUAUUGAAGACUACAAUGAGAAAAACUAUCAGACAGCAGAUGGCUGCAUUCAAGGUGAGCUCUGAACAUUUGAUCUGGAACAGGAAUUCAAUAACGGCAGCAUGAGCUUCAUUUCAGUCUGUAGCUGCUGAAUUCAUGGAUGAAUCAUCUGGCACUAGAGAAGAAGACCAUCAAACAUCCACGUCAGCUGAUGGAGGUCCAAGAGUCUCACCAAACAAACAACCUACAGAGUGAAGACCUCAAAUCUGAUUGGACGGCCUCCUAUUCAGCCACGUGUGAACAAAUGCCUCUAAGCUGAUUUGUUUUCUAAAAUAAAUCUAGUUUGAGUCCUAA